rnacentral:lncRNA from 1 species
AGGGAAGAGCCGAGGCGCCGCCGCCGCCGGUACCGUUAUACCUGCCUCGGCCCCCGCCCCCCGGCCGUCGCCUCGGAGCCCCAGCAUCCACCAGCGCCGCGGCGCCGGGCCCGCUCCCCGCCUGCGCCUCGACCCGGCCCGCUCCGACGCCCUCCCCGGCGGAGGCGGUGGGUUAUUCUCAGGCUUAUUCCCGGCGGUGGCGGCGCCGCUAACCGCUGCCCGGCGAGCGGCAGUGCCCGCCCAGCAGCUGUGCCGCUGCCGCCGCCGCUGCCUCCUCACGCUCCCCCUCCCAGUCCUUCCGGCCCGGCCCGCCCCCCGCGGAGAUGCUGCCGCCGUUCGGAAUAACCCUGGGGCGCGAGCAGCUGCCUGCGGCGCUGGCCGGCGCUGAAGCUCAGAACUGUGACUGCCGCCGCUGCUACAGGCGCCACUGUUGUUGUGAAGCCCCGACGCCGCCGCUCACUCCGCCAUGUUGCCGCCCCCUGCCUGCGGUAGCGGCCACUGCGCCUGCGCAGAGCCUCCGGGGGGGCGGAGCCCUCGUGCACCCCCUCUUUCGCCCUGCCCUCCUUCCCCUUCCACCCACCCAGCCCGACACCCCUCGUCCCUCCCCCAACCGCCCUGAACGGAUAGACAGGAAGAGGUUCGUCAUCUUCGUCGUCGCAUCCAGCAGCUGCUACAGCCAGUGCCACGUGCCUUGUAAGUGGCGAAAGACAGAGCAUGUUUCGGGGCUGUUUGCAUUCAGUGAAGCAUAGAAAGAUGAUGGCUACAUGAUUCGCCCCCAUAAUUAACACCAUGGUAUUUUCUUUCAUAUGCAUAACAGAAAACUCACAUGGUUACCUUAUAAAAUAAGACAUCUUAUUUUAUAAACAUUUCAAUAUUUUUUGUUUUACCAUUUGCAUCCUAAUCCCAAGUAGUCCUUUGAAGUAGAGUGGCUAAAGGAAGGGUUUUGAAAUCAGAUAGAUUGGGUUCAUGUGCAAACAAAUUGACCUUGAACCUCAUUCUGCACCUGUAAAAUAUAACUACCUCACAUAUAUGGAGUUUUUAAAUACUCCAAGCAUGUAUUACAUGCUUGGAGUAUUUAAAUAGAUUAAAGAUAUAUAACAUUUAGAACAAUGCCUAUAAUAGGUACUCAAUAGAUGGUAGAAAUUGCAACUAUACACAACACAAAAAGACAGCAGAAUCUUGAAUUUUCAAAUUAUGUAAUGGAGUACACUAAUAUCCGCUUAUUUUAUCUUUAUUCAUUGACCUGAUUUUCCCUUCUUCAGAGAGCUAAUAGAAC